UCGGAAUUCUGGGCNUAAGCGUGCGCAGGCGGUUUUGUAAGUCNNAUGUGAAAUCCCCGGGCUUAACCUNGGAACUGCGUUUGAAACUACAAGGCUAGAGUGUGGCAGAGGGGGGUGGAAUUCCACGUGUAGCAGUGAAAUGCGUAGAGAUGUGGAGGAACACCGAUGGCGAAGGCAGCCCCCUGGGUUAACACUGACGCUCAGGCACGAANGCGUGGGGAGCAAACAGGAUUAGAUACCCUGGUAGUCCACGCCCUAAACGAUGUCAACUAGUUGUCGGGUCUUAACGGACUUGGUAACGCAGCUAACGCGUGAAGUUGACCGCCUGGGGAGUACGGUCGCAAGAUUAAAACUCAAAGGAAUUGACGGGGACCCGCACAAGCGGUGGAUUAUGUGGAUUAAUUCGAUGCAACGCGAAAAACCUUACCUACCCUUGACAUGUGCCGAAGCCCGCCGAGAGGUGGGUGUGCCCGAAAGGGAACGGCAACACAGGUGCUGCAUGGCUGUCGUCAGCUCNUGUCCUGAGAUGUUGGGUUAAGUCCCGCAACNAGCGCAACCCUUGUCAUUAAUUGCCAUCAUUCAGUUGGGGCACUUUAAUGAAAACUGCCGGGUGACCNACCGGAAGGAANGUGGGGAAUGACGUCAAAGUNCCUCAUGGNCCCUUAUGGGGUAGGGCUUCNCCCCGUAAAUACAAUGGNNGCGUUACUGNANGNUUNNCCAACCCNGCGAGGGGGNANCUUANUNUUCANAAAAGCGCNNCCGUUAUUNCCGGAUCCGCANUUUU
rnacentral:rRNA from 1 species